GCAGAAAACACACAUAAUAAACAAAGUGUUACCUAGACUAAUUCAGGUUGCUAGGUGACCAGUUUCUUUACACUGCUCUGUAGGGUUGCCACCCGUCCCUUAAAAUACGGAAACGUCCUUUAUUUGACAAUUAAUUGUUGCGUCCCGUAUUGAAUCAAUACGGGACGCAAGUUGUUCCGUAUUUUCAUAAAUGCCCCGUACACGUCUGUCACACACUCAUCAAAACUGCAUAAUGAAUAAAAUAAAACACAGGAAAUAUUAAGGGCAGCCAUUUUCCUCUUCGUAGGACCCAUGUAGCGAGGACCCGAUGCCAGGUCCAGUGGACAGACUUCAGACGUCUCCGUGUGUCCCGUCCUGUCCGGUCCUGUCUCUGGUUGCCUGGUUACAGACGCUGCUGCACCCGCAUGUUUAAAAAUGUCUACACCUGAAACUCCACCACGUUCAAAGAAGCAAAAACGUUUGCAAAUGUACAGACUGGAGUGGGAAGAGUGGAACCCCUGGCAAUGGAUACAAGGCAAACUGUGUUUUCUGUUGCUCAUGGACUGGCUGAAGUAAGGCAGCAUCAGGAGACAAACAUGGAGGAAAUAUGAGAACAGAAAGAACCCAACCAGCAGGUCACAGUUUAUCAUCAUCUAAUCAUCUCCUGAAGUCGACAUGGUCCCUCUCUAUCUCCCCACACAUCCACCAACCACUGGAACACAUCUCCAAAGUUCUGCUGGGCCAGCUCAGCUUCCCCUCAGAAGAAGUGCUGCCACCUGCCAGAUGAAGGAGCCUUUUGAGAGGCAGCUGGCAUCAUGAUUGGACUGUACUUUGGUCUGUUCCAAUCCAGCUUCAGCUCCAGAGACGGCAGGCGGGACGAGUCAACGGAGGCCUGGUGGACGAAGGCAUGCAGCUGAGUACAAUCCAGAAAACAACAGAGGAGGAGAAAACAAACGUAGUAGUAUAGUAGAAAAUAUACAUCGUAGAUUGUACAAAUAACAAGUCAAAGGAAAGAGACAUACAUUGUAGAAUUGUAGUAAUUGUGGGCUGACUGAUUUACUGAUUAUCAGUAUUUUAUUUUUUACUGAUUUACGGUAAUAAAUACAUUUAAAAAUGGUA